rnacentral:rRNA from 1 species
GUCCACGCUGUAAACGGUGGGCACUAGGUGUGGGUCCUUACCAACGGGAUCCGUGCCGUAGCUAACGCAUUAAGUGCCCCGCCUGGGGAGUACGGCCGCAAGGCUAAAACUCAAAGGAAUUGACGGGGCCCGCACAAGCGGCGGAGCAUGUUGCUUAAUUCGAGGCAACGCGAAGAACCUUACCUGGGCUUGACAUGUAGGGAAAAGCCGUAGAGAUACGGUGUCCUUCGGGGCCCUACACAGGUGGUGCAUGGCUGUCGU